GGGGGUGCAACGGCUUCGAUUGCCGGUGAGCGAAAAGAUAAGCAUACUGCGGACGGAGUGGCCGCAUAAAAACAUUCCGCUUAAAUUUAAAUGCAGAUAACAAUGCAGAAUACGCACUUGCUGCGUAAAUUCGUCAGUCACUGACGAUCGUCGCGCCCGGUUUAUCCGUCGGCCGGGGGAGCGGCGUCAAACAGACGGAAAAAUCUUUCCGGAAGAGGAGACGGCCGGCAAGAUCAUUCAGUUUCCUGCGAAGCGCAAAGCGUGUUUACCCGCGUUGUGAAUUUUAAGAAAAAAAGAUAAACUAAGUAUGUAGAAAGUUUUUUGGCAGCCGAGUAAGACGUGAGUUCGACUCUCACCACCUCCACCA
rnacentral:tmRNA from 1 species